GAUUUCUGCCUGCCGAGCAGGGUGGUCUAGCACAUUGACCUCACCAUGGCUGGGGGAUUUCUCUCAGUCUUUCUAGGGCGUCCAGAAUAAUCACCGACCUCACAGAGGCAGUUUCUCCAUGACGCGCUGUUGACCGCGAGCACACUGGGCGUUUCAUUGGGCGAGGAGAAGCCAGCGGGCAGGAUGGGAGGCAGCAGGAGGGGGCGCUCAGGGCUGGGCCGGCAAGGGGCCUGCGCACUGGCUGCCCUCCUGCUCUGGCUGUGCCUCCCACCGCUAAGUGCCCAGACCACGCCAUCCAAUCCUAGCGUUCAAAACCAGGCUGCAUCAUGCGGGAGGAGCACAGUCACAGGGAAGAUCUUUGGUGGCCAGGCAGCAGCAGCAGAACGGUGGCCAUGGCUGGCCAGUGUGGUUGUUAGGAGAAAGCACAUCUGUGGAGCCUCCCUCAUCUCCAACAGCUGGGUGCUCUCUGCUGGAAGCUGUGUACAAAGGUCAGAAAUCACAUCAGACUACCGCAUCUGGCUAGGGUACACUGAACUGGGCAAUCCCACCAACUUCAGCAAGCAGGUGAAAAUCGACGCGUUCUUCACCCCAGAUGAAUACAACAAGGCACACCCCUUAGCAAGUGACGUCAGUCUGUUACACCUGGAAGACCCUGUGGAAUUCAACUCUCAUGUCCGGCCCAUCUGCCUCCCAGAAAACUCAACAGUAGUGCCCAUGAACAGCGUCUGCUGGAUAUAUGGCUGGGGGAAGCUCACUCAGACUGAUUUUCUACCCUCGCCCUUCCCGCUGCAGGAGGCCAAGGUCAGCCUCACAGAAAGGGAUUAUUGCAGGAAUCAAUACAUGCCCCCUAUAGGCAUGCCAGCAGACCAGAUGUUGAGUUUUCGGGAAGAUAAUAUAUGUGCCCACGACCCUUCUGUUGAGAAGUCCAUGUGCGCAGGAGACGCUGGGGGCCCAUUGUCCUGCUACUUGAAUGGUGCCUGGUAUGCAGUGGGCGUGACCAGUUGGAGCGGGGACUGCCAAAGUCCAGUCAGUCCCACCGUCUUUGCCAGUACCACCUACCAUGCCAGGUGGAUCAAGGAGAAGCAGAACUGGGUCAAACCCCCCCCAACACCCAAGCCCACCAAAGGCCCAUCUAAGAAGACGAGGCCCCCUGCAAUGACCAAUAAACCUAUUCCUGAUGCGGGUGCAGUGCACAAGCCCAGGGUCUUCCUGGUGCUGCUGUCAUCUGCCACUCUGCUGCUGCUGAUUCUCCUCCAGAGCCAGUGACAGGCUGGCCCCACCUCUCCAGAAGCCUCUGCCCUGAUCCCUGUGCCUGCACAUCUGGCUCCAACUAGGGGUCUUCCUGCCCAUAAGAGGUGCACAGGCUACCGUAUCUCAGGUCCCUGGUUCUGCACCUGCCAUGGGUGAUGAUGUCACAAUAUGGUCCUCCACAGGGGUGGCAGGCUGGGCAGUCUGAGAAGAGCCACAGCGUGGAAUGCAACUCAUGGAUGGAUACCUGCAUGCAUGGACUCAUGUGUCCUUGGACUUCUGCAUCUCAGGGCUGGGCUGCAGCCCCAGGGUGUGCAUGCCUGAGACACGCAAGCCCCUACAGCCUAUGUUGGGCAGUCACUGGCCUCUCCAGAAGGGUGCCCACACCUGCCUGACUGGCUCCCAGCAGGUGGACAAUGAGCAUCCCACACAUGGGACCAAGUUCUGGUCAGCCUGCAGAGAAGGAAAAGGGCAAGAGGAACCAGGACUGUGAGGCUGUGAGGCUGUGACCUGGCUAUUCUGGGAGCAGCUGGG